rnacentral:lncRNA from 1 species
UUUUAUGCCUUUUCUGUUCAAGAUAAUAUAAUUGUGCAUUUGUGUGUUGCUUGAUUCUAAAAGUCCAAGGGAAUUCUGGGUUUCUAUUGACAUUCUAGUCUAUUGGAUUUCUACCCGUUUGGUCAGAUCAUUUCAACUCUUAACUUUUAAUUUUGUGCAUAGGAUUAGUCUCUUCAUCUUCUCCCCAUUUCUUUAAUUUCA